GUCCCUGUAGUACAAUGGACAGCGCAUUGGACAGACAAUCCAAAAGUCGUGGUUUCGAAUCUCACCUGGGAUG